rnacentral:tRNA from 1 species
GCGCUCGUAGCUCAGCUGGAUAGAGUGUUUCCCUCCGAAGGAAAAAGUCGCAGGUUCGAAUCCUGUCGAGCGCACCA